UACGGAGGGUGCAAGCGUUAUCCGGAUUUACUGGGUUUAAAGGGUGCGUAGGCGGGCCAUUAAGUCAGUGGUGAAAGCUCCGAGCUUAACUCGGAAACUGCCAUUGAUACUAUUGGUCUUGAAUUCGGUCGAGGUUGGCGGAAUGUGUCGUGUAGCGGUGAAAUGCUUAGAUAUGACACAGAACACCGAUUGCGAAGGCAGCUAGCUAGACCGACAUUGACGCUGAGACGCGAAAGCGUGGGGAGCGAACAGG
rnacentral:rRNA from 1 species